CGGUCUCUCGUUCUACUGCACCGUGACAACACCUGCAUAAAGGAGAGGGCCGUGAACGAUCGCGUUUACACCAAGCUUAGAGUAACACUCCAAAGCGCCACGUCAUCUCAAAGAUUCGGCCGGUAUGUAGCACCUGAUUGACAACCGAUGCUCCAAAAUUUAUUCUUUUCCAAUCCAAGAGAUAAAUAAUGUAGGGGAGAGUGAACUUCUCUAUUCCUAAAGAUAUGUCUCUUUAAAUAAUUUGUCCCGGCCACCAUAAAAAACCAUUACUUCUCUGUAAUUCUCUCGGAUCAAUUAUAUAUUUUACGAUCCAGACUCUACACUAAACCCUGUUUUUCUACUUUAAGUCUGUGGCCACCCAACAAAGGGAUUUAUUCUAGUCUAAGAAAUAAAGAAGAUUUACUAGUGAUCCAAGAUUCGGAUGGACUUGUUAAUUUGAGUGUGGGAGACUGUGUUUCAAGAGAUAAUAAUUAUCUAAGUUAAGCUGAACAAAGUGGUGGAGGUGUCAUUUUCGACCAGAUUACCACCAUGUAACACAACAUCUAGAAAAGUAUAUAAAGCACUUCAGAUUCUUUACACUUUUGAUUAGGCCGUGCCUAUUUUAGCGAUUACAAACUGUGGGAUGCAGCUUAUUAUUGCAAGGUGUUAUACAAUCUGCAAGCAUGGAGAAGUAGAUUGUGGGAUCAUAGCAAUCACUGGUACAGGGAAGGGCUUUAGCCCCGGGCCGUAAGCGCCUUUAGUCCCGGCUACGGAACCGGGGCUAAGGUUUCGGAACUAAAUGUCCCACCUUUAGUCGCGGUUCCGUGGACCGGGACUAAAGGUCCACCUUUAGUCCCGGUUGGUAACAGCAACCGGGACUAAAAGGUGCGCCCGGGUGUGCCAUCUGGCCUCCACUUUUAGUCCCGGUUGUUGCUACCAACCGGGACUAAAGACUUUUUUCUUUUUUCUUUUUCUUUUCAUUUGGUUUUCGAUUUAGGGUUUACAAUUAUGUUAUUGUUAUUUUCGAAUGCGUAUUGUUUGCUGGUAGUUUAUGGAACGUCCACCUAUAUAAUUUAUAUAAUUUAAAAGAUUACAUAUAAAUAUACUAUAAAACACUAUAUAUAUAUAAAUAAUUAUAUCUAUAGGUCCAUAAUAAAAUAUUUACACAUAUGCUUCACGGACAAAGUAUUUACAACACAAUUUUUCUCCACCACUCAAGCAUCGUACAAAUGAUCAUCGUUAUUUGGUUUCAUCUGCUCCUGAGGGUUGAAGUAGCACUCGCCGCCGGAAUCCAGGACUUGGUCAUUAAGAAAUCCUGCGAUUAUCUCCUAAAUUCCUUUUAGGCGCACCGCAUCCAACACCUACUCCUUCAGCCACAUCUUCUUUAAUAGACAUUAAAGAAAAAAGUUAGAGGUAUGAAUAGGAUUUAUUAAAUAGCAACAAAUAAAUGAAAUAUACUUAUUAUAUAUACAUGUUACAUACUUUUAGGUGCUCAAGAUUAGUUCUUUUGGCAUACACCGUCAUAAACUCGCACACAUAGUAGCCACACAAAUUGUUGCCCGGUGUCUGCCGUAGAACCCACUGAAGUAAGAUGGGCUUUGAAAGUGCUGCAUUCAACUCUGGACGGUGUUUCUGCACGAACCCAGCCCAAACCCUAGCAAUAAAACGAUCAUUAUUAAGUAUCCAUUACUAAGUUAAAAGAGGAGAAUUUAAUAUAUAGAGAUCGGAGUUACUCUUGGGUAAUAUCUAUCAUUUUUUGGUAAUCAUCCUGUGGUUUUCUCAAUGAGUCAUAGAUUACCAAUUGACAUUGCGAGAGAUCAAUGACAAUUAGUAUCCAAUGAAAGCUGCAUUUGUGUGCAUAUGUAGGCAAAAUUAGUAUAUAUCUUCAUAUUGAUCUGAUUAAUUAGUUAAAUAGAAUGUACACACGAUAACGACACUUACUUAAAGUUGUAGGGAAAGAGUAUAUAUCUUUUAUCUUUUUGGUUGAUCAAGAACCUCCGUAGAUUUCUCUCUGUUUGAGUUCUCCAUAAAACAUACGGGGUCUUGUGGUCUUUGAAUACAACAUUUGGAUCCACAAAUCCAAUCUCCUUGUCAUUUCUAACUCUGAGGUCCCUCAUCAUGUUUCUGCAUAUGUAUAGCAGGUUUCUGUAAUUAGUUAUAUAUAUACAUGAUAAGUUACAGAGACAUUAUUGAAAGGAAGAAUCACUUACAGACAGAAGCAACUCAUUAGAGAUUUGUCAAGAGCGUCCAUGUGGCAU
rnacentral:lncRNA from 1 species